rnacentral:rRNA from 1 species
CCUACGGGUGGCAGCAGUGGGGAAUAUUGGACAAUGGGGGGAACCCUGAUCCAGCCAUGCCGCGUGUGUGAAGAAGGCCCUCGGGUUGUAAAGCACUUUCAGUGAGGAAGAACGCCUGGUGGUUAAUACCCAUCAGGAAAGACAUCACUCACAGAAGAAGCACCGGCUAACUCCGUGCCAGCAGCCGCGGUAAUACGGAGGGUGCGAGCGUUAAUCGGAAUUACUGGGCGUAAAGCGCGCGUAGGUGGCUUGAUAAGCCGGUUGUGAAAGCCCCGGGCUCAACCUGGGAACGGCAUCCGGAACUGUCAAGCUAGAGUGCAGGAGAGGAAGGUAGAAUUCCCGGUGUAGCGGUGAAAUGCGUAGAGAUCGGGAGGAAUACCAGUGGCGAAGGCGGCCUUCUGGACUGACACUGACACUGAGGUGCGAAAGCGUGGGUAGCAAACAGGAUUAGAUAUCCGAGUAGUC